CCCGACAGACUGCUGCUUACUAGUGAUUUAAAUAAGCUGCUACGUUGCCACUUGUCUACGCUUUUCUUUGUGGCGAUUUACCCUGCAAACUCGCUGCUAGAACACUCGAGUCGAAAACUCGGAUGGGAUAAUACUUGAGGAAUAUACGAGAACAACCUAAUCUUCGCGUUCUGACAUAAACCACAAGAAAAGAAAAGGAACUAGGGGUAUUCUCGUCAUAGCCAUUCAACUGGAUGAGCUUUAGCGAAGGCGAGUAGGUUAUACUUUCCAGAACGCACAAAUAGCUUUCCUUUCUGUUGCAAUAUGGUAACUGUAUCUUUAAUUUACCUUACCUUUUCUCUUUUGGUUAUUAGAGGGUGACCAUGACGUGAACCUAUCGUGUAUAUAUGUAUAUAUAUGUGCCAUUUUUCAUCGUCUUCCCCUAUAUCCUUCUGUUUUAAAUUUACAAAGCUCGAGUAAUAUAUAAACUAUUUGAAGAAAAUUUUAACUUUAGGGUUUAUUCGGGUUGCCCCUGAGAGAUCCUUAAAGGGCUUCAUAAAGGGCUUUGUUUCAUCUGAUUAGGUACUGCAUUGCCAAGUUUGAAAAGCUAACUCAGCUACGAAGAGCACGACUGAUCUUGUAUGUCGUAUUUCAUACAGCAUAAAGGGUUAAAGCUAAUUACUUACGGAUGGAUUGGGUUCAUCGCGGAAAAUUUAUUACUUUCACAUAACCGGGAUAUUAUUAUACAACGUAUUGGUGAUAAAAAAUAUCAUAUUCUUUACUCCUUAUUAAGCACUUUUACCUGCGGUUUUGUUUCUUACGGCUACUUCAAGUACGGCCGGAGACAAGGACCUAUCUGGUUUAACGUUCAACGUAAUCGACUUCUUCGUUGGAGUGGAUUCAUUUUACUUUCAACUGGUUAUGUGGGAUUUUCUCAAUUUUUUCCUAAAUUUCAGUCCCCUUUUGCAAUACAACCAGUUGAAAAAGAAACAAACUCAAGAAGUGAUGGCGGUAGGGAGCUGCAAGAAAAAGGGUUCAAAUUAAGAGAGUGGAAUUUUCACCCUCGUUGCCCUUUAGACUUUAAAACAAAUCACGAUUUGGUUAACGAAGUGAGUGGUCUAGAAAGAGUUACACGGCACCCAGCAUUCUGGAGUCUUGGCUUUACUGGUGUAGGACUGGCUUUAACUACAAUGUAUGCUUGUGAAACUGUUUUAUUUGGUAUGUUCGGUGUUCUGGCGGCUCAUUAUCAAUGGAUAUGGAAGCACAAACCUCGAACAUACCUUUCUUGGCGCUCUUAUUGGAAAGACAAAGCUGGAAGAAGCUUAUAAACGAGUUAAAGUUGACAAACGCUUCUCUUGCUCUUUUUUUGUCUUGGUUGAUCUACGCACGACGAAUAAAGAAGCUGAGCUUACAGUAGAGGCUCUUGAGAAAAACUGGGGCAUAGAAAAGGACUAAAAUUAGUCGGUCCUAAGCAAUUUGCGGAGUUCUAUUUUUUUCGGUACAACUGUUGGAUUAAAUCUUUGCCUUCCUCCCAUUGGCCGAUACAAAUUAGAUCUUGACAUCCAACAGGUUUCCUCUUGGAAGAUUCAUAAAACUUACUUAGAACAACCGAGUUGUAU